rnacentral:rRNA from 1 species
CGGUGGCGGCGUGCCUAAUACAUGCAAGUCGAACGAGUUCUCGUUGAUGAUCGGUGCUUGCACCGAGAUUCAACAUGGAACGAGUGGCGGACGGGUGAGUAACACGUGGGUAACCUGCCCUUAAGUGGGGGAUAACAUUUGGAAACAGAUGCUAAUACCGCAUAGAUCCAAGAACCGCAUGGUUCUUGGCUGAAAGAUGGCGUAAGCUAUCGCUUUUGGAUGGACCCGCGGCGUAUUAGCUAGUUGGUGAGGUAAUGGCUCACCAAGGCGAUGAUACGUAGCCGAACUGAGAGGUUGAUCGGCCACAUUGGGACUGAGACACGGCCCAAACUCCUACGGGAGGCAGCAGUAGGGAAUCUUCCACAAUGGACGCAAGUCUGAUGGAGCAACGCCGCGUGAGUGAAGAAGGCUUUCGGGUCGUAAAACUCUGUUGUUGGAGAAGAAUGGUCGGCAGAGUAACUGUUGUCGGCGUGACGGUAUCCAACCAGAAAGCCACGGCUAACUACGUGCCAGCAGCCGCGGUAAUACGUAGGUGGCAAGCGUUAUCCGGAUUUAUUGGGCGUAAAGCGAGCGCAGGCGGUUUUUUAAGUCUGAUGUGAAAGCCCUCGGCUUAACCGAGGAAGCGCAUCGGAAACUGGGAAACUUGAGUGCAGAAGAGGACAGUGGAACUCCAUGUGUAGCGGUGAAAUGCGUAGAUAUAUGGAAGAACACCAGUGGCGAAGGCGGCUGUCUGGUCUGUAACUGACGCUGAGGCUCGAAAGCAUGGGUAGCGAACAGGAUUAGAUACCCUGGGUAGUCCAUGCCCGUAAAACGAUGAAUGCUAUGUGUUGGAGGGUUUCCCCCCUUCAGUGCCGCAGCUAACGCAUUAAGCAUUCCGCCUGGGGAGUACGACCGCAAGGUUGAAACUCAAAGGAAUUGACGGGGGCCCGCACAAGCGGUGGAGCAUGUGGUUUAAUUCGAAGCAACGCGAAGAACCUUACCAGGUCUUGACAUCUUUUGAUCACCUGAGAGAUCAGGUUUCCCCUUCGGGGGCAAAAUGACAGGUGGUGCAUGGUUGUCGUCAGCUCGUGUCGUGAGAUGUUGGGUUAAGUCCCGCAACGAGCGCAACCCUUAUGACUAGUUGCCAGCAUUUAGUUGGGCACUCUAGUAAGACUGCCGGUGACAAACCGGAGGAAGGUGGGGAUGACGUCAAAUCAUCAUGCCCCUUAUGACCUGGGCUACACACGUGCUACAAUGGAUGGUACAACGAGUUGCGAGACCGCGAGGUCAAGCUAAUCUCUUAAAGCCAUUCUCAGUUCGGACUGUAGGCUGCAACUCGCCUACACGAAGUCGGAAUCGCUAGUAAUCGCGGAUCAGCACGCCGCGGUGAAUACGUUCCCGGGCCUUGUACACACCGCCCGUCACACCAUGAGAGUUUGUAACACCCGAAGCCGGUG